CUCCUAUGUCCCCCCCAAUCCGGCCGCUUUAGCUAAAGGGCUGCUAAUCCUAUGGCCACCUGGCGCCUGGAAUUCGUCGAGCCCUGAUUAUUGCAAUAAAAAUAAAUGAUUUCCUACUCAAUGUAUAGUAUUAUCUAUCCAAUGCUAGUGCUUACAGAAAUAGGUGAUCAGUUAUAUUUUAGAGCAUCCUACUGAGCACCAGAGGCAUUACAGAUAAAUAUAAAGUAGCCGGGAGGAAAGAAAUGCUUCUGGAAUGUGGAGGGUUUCAUUCACCCAUUGUCAGCUGGGGUACCAGUAAAUAUGCCUUCUCUGAGAUACUGCAGCUUUGUGUAUAAGGCAGUCACAAUAUCACAGAUCCUACAUCGUGGCCACUGUGGCUCUGUUAAUAUUUAGAUUUGCAGUAAGGAUUUUAAAAGCUACCCUGCCUGGUACCACCUAUGCCUAUCCAAUCAGUCAUUCUGCUACAUAGAAAUUACACCAACAUGUAUACCAGCUCCUACAAAGCUGAACCUUAUCAGGGUUGAAACACCGCAGGGGUCAGUAUUCAAAUCUGUACCUCCAUUAGUGAGCUAUAGAACAGUAAAAGACUUUUACAUAUACUCCUUUUGUAUCUUUUACUUUGCUGCCCAAAAUCUAAAUGACAAAAAGAGUG